rnacentral:rRNA from 1 species
UACAGAGGGUGCGAGCGCUAAUCGGAAUUACUGGGCGUAAAGCGCACGUAGUCGGCUUUGCAAGUCGGGUGUGAAAUCCCCGGGCUCAACCUGGGAACUGCAUCCGAGACUGCAUUGCUAGAGUAUGGGAGAGGGAAGCGGAACUUCUGGUGUAGCAGUGAAAUGCGUAGAUAUCAGAAGGAACAUCAGUGGCGAAGGCGGCUUCCUGGACCAAUACUGACGAUCAGGUGCGAAAGCGUGGGGAGCAAACAGG